rnacentral:rRNA from 1 species
CCUACGGGUGGCUGCAGUGAGGAAUAUUGGUCAAUGGGCGCGAGCCUGAACCAGCCAAGUAGCGUGAAGGAUGACUGCCCUACGGGUUGUAAACUUCUUUUAUAAAGGAAUAAAGUGAGGCACGUGUGCCUUUUUGUAUGUAUUUUAUGAAUAAGGAUUGGCUAACUCCGUGCCAGCAGCCGCGGUAAUACGGAGGAUCCGAGCGUUAUCCGGAUUUAUUGGGUUUAAAGGGAGCGGAGAUGGGUUGUUAAGUCAGUUGUGAAAGUUUGCGGCUCAACCGUAAAAUUGCAAUUGAUACUGGCAGCCUUGAGUACAGUAGAGGUAGGCGGAAUUCGUGGUGUAGCGGUGAAAUGCUUAGAUAUCACGAAGAACUCCGAUUGCGAAGGCAGCCUACUAGACUGCAACUGACACUGAUGCUCGAAAGUGUGGGUAUCAAACAGGAUUAGAUACCCGAGUAGUC